rnacentral:rRNA from 1 species
AGGGUUCGAUUCUGGCUCAGGACGAACGCUGGCGGCGUGCCUAACACAUGCAAGUCGAGCGAGGAGAUUCCUCGGGAUGAUCCUAGCGGCGGACGGGUGAGUAACACGUGGGCAACCUGCCUCAUAGAGAGGAAUAGCCUUCCGAAAGGGAGAUUAAUACCUCAUAACAUUGCAGUUUCGCAUGGAACAGCAAUUAAAGGAGCAAUCCGCUAUGAGAUGGGCCCGCGGCGCAUUAGCUAGUUGGUGAGGUAACGGCUCACCAAGGCGACGAUGCGUAGCCGACCUGAGAGGGUGAUCGGCCACAUUGGGACUGAGACACGGCCCAGACUCCUACGGGGGGCAGCAGUGGGGAAUAUUGCACAAUGGGGGAAACCCUGAUGCAAGCAACGCCGCGUGAGUGAUGACGGCCUUCGGGUUGUAAAGCUCUGUCUUCAGGGACGAUAAUGACGGUACCUGAGGAGGAAGCCACGGCUAACUACGUGCCAGCAGCGGC